rnacentral:rRNA from 1 species
CAUGCAGGUGGUUUCGUUAGUCGGAUAUGAAAGCCUCUGGCUUAACUAGAGGAGGUCGUUCGAUACUGCGAAACUAGAGGUCGGGAGAGGAAAGCGGAAUUCCCGGUGUAGUGGUGGAAUGCGUAGAUAUCGGGAGGAACACCAGUGGCGAAGGCGGCUUUCUGGCCCGCACCUGACACUAAGAUGCGAAAGCGUGGGUAGCGAACG